AAAUGCCAGCCCAUAUUAGGAUUUUUAAAUCAGCACACAUUCCACCUAUUCCACACACAUUCCACUAAUUUUUGACAGUUGUCAAAAAGUAGCAGAUUAAUUCCUGGAUGGUACAUCUUGAAAUACGAUACUAA